rnacentral:rRNA from 1 species
UACGUAGGGGGCAAGCGUUGUCCGGAUUCAUUGGGCGUAAAGAGCGUGUAGGCGGCCAGAUAGGUCAGCUGUGAAAACUCGGGGCUCAACCCUGAGACGUCGGUUGAAACCAUCUGGCUAGAGUCCGGAAGAGGAGUGUGGAAUUCCAGGUGUAGCGGUGAAAUGCGUAGAUAUCUGGAGGAACACCGGUGGCGAAGGCGGCAUCCUGGACCAAUUCUGACGCUGAGUGAGCGAAAGCCAGGGGAGCAAACGGG